rnacentral:rRNA from 1 species
UACGUAGGGUGCGAGCGUUAAUCGGAAUUACUGGGCGUAAAGCGUGCGCAGGCGGUUUUGUAAGCCAGAUGUGAAAUCCCCGGGCUUAACCUGGGAAUGGCAUUUGGGACUGCAAGGCUUGAGUGCGGCAGAGGAGACUGGAAUUCCUGGUGGUAGCAGUGAAAUGCGUAGAUAUCAGGAGGAACACCGAUGGCGAAGGCAGGUCUCUGGGCUGACACUGACGCUCAUGCACGAAAGCGUGGGGAGCAAACAGG